GGAGCUAUGAGGAGCAGAGAAGCUCUAAGCAGUGGAAGCCUUGGAUGAGCAGAGGAAUGGAGAAGACUACUGCAGCCUUACUGACAUCUCACAGUAAGUCUAAAUCAUCAGUUUAUGGAUCAGAGAAUGAUUUGGUAAAAACCGACAG